CAGUAGCCGCGGUAAUACGAAGGGGGCUAGCGUUGCUCGGAAUCACUGGGCGUAAAGGGUGCGUAGGCGGGUCUUUAAGUCAGAGGUGAAAUCCUGGAGCUCAACUCCAGAACUGCCUUUGAUACUGAGGAUCUUGAGUUCGGGAGAGGUGAGUGGAACUGCGAGUGUAGAGGUGAAAUUCGUAGAUAUUCGCAAGAACACCAGUGGCGAAGGCGGCUCACUGGCCCGGAACUGACGCUGAGGCGCGAAAGCGUGGGGAGCAAACAGGAUUAGAGACCCGUGUAGUCCCUGUCUCUUAUAC
rnacentral:rRNA from 1 species